UUUCCGUAGGUGAACCUGCGGAAGGAUCAUUAUUGUAUAACCGAGGUGCGAGGGCUGUCGCUGACCCGAAAGGUCGUGCACGCCCGAGUGCCCUCAAAUACUUCCAUCUCACCCCUAUGUGCACCACCGCGUGGGUCCCCCUUUGGCUUGUUCGGAGGGGGGCUUACGUUUUCACACAAACUUUGUAUGCAGUGUAGAAUGUAUUUUUUGUUUUUGCUAUCACGCAAUCAAUACAACUUUCAACAACGGAUCUCUUGGCUCUC
rnacentral:misc_RNA from 1 species